AGCAGCCGCGGUAAUUCCAGCUCCAAUAGCGUAUAUUAAAGUUGUUGCAGUUAAAAAGCUCGUAGUUGAAUUUCGGGAUCAAUAUAUUGGUCGUGCUUAGGUAUGUACUGGUAUUAUUGAUUUCUCCCUUCUGAAGAACCAUGAUGUCAUUAAUUUGAUGUCGUGGGGAAUCAGGACUGUUACUUUGAAAAAAUUAGAGUGUUUAAAGCAGGCUCACGCUUGAAUACAUUAGCAUGGAAUAAUGAAAUAGGACGUUUGAUUCUAUUUUGUUGGUUUCUAGGAUCGACGUAAUGAUUAAUAGGGAUAGUUGGGGGCAUUAGUAUUCAAUUGUCAGAGGUGAAAUUCUUGGAUUUAUUGAAGACUAACUACUGCGAAAGCAUUUGCCAAGGAUGUUUUCAUUAAUCAAGAACGAAAGUUAGGGGAUCGAAGACGAUCAGAUACCGUCGUAGUCUUAACCAUAAACUAUGCCGACUA
rnacentral:misc_RNA from 1 species